UUGAAGCAUAUACAGUGAGAAGAAAAUGAGAGAAACAGUUUUAGAGUUGCCAAGGUUUGUUGAGUUCCGGUCACAAUAUAGCAAUAACUUCUGUGGACGAAAAUCCUAAAACAAUCCGUCUUACCAAUGUUCAUGUCAAAAGCAAUUUGUGCUUGUGGCGAUCGAGCAGAGGGACCUUAUUAUGCAUGCGUGGCUGCAGGCUACUCAGUUCGGGAUUCUGCUAACAUUAAAAAACAUCAAAUACUAGGCAGCUUCUUUGGGAAUCUGAGCAAAUAACUACCUUAUUAUCAGGUAGAGCACCUGAAUUUAUGAGGUUUAAAACAUGCAGAAUUGCCUCCACUUCCCUGCAAAUUCCACCACGCAUGUCCCCCCAUUUACUAACUGAAUAUGCCGCAUCAACCAUGCAAAUUACUGAGUAUACACUACUCCUCACUUCCCUGCAGAGAAUAGAUUCAUGUCCUUUCUGUGAUGCACAUUUAGAGCACCUAUAGGGUUUACUCUCCAGAGUGGCCCCUGCCCAAAUGACAUGAUGUUUGAAGCACUGCCCCAUUUAGCAACUCGAAUGAAUAUCAACUCCUGAAUUUUUUUUUCUUUAAUCUUUAUCUUAUUAAAGAUUUGGUCGUCUCUGGCUACCCAGAUAGACCACAGCGAAGCCGAUAUCACCAUACGCCAUACUUUGGAGAUAAAACGUGGCCUGUUCAGUUUAAGUAAGGCCAUGAGAUUGAAAUUGCUGAAGCCUGUCAUCGUGGUUUUAAGGUUCCACCAAUUACUUAUAAAAGACCAAGCCCAUUUUGCUAGUUGGCAGUCCCAAAGCAGGUGAGACGAAGUUUCUAUUUGUUGGCAGAAAACCCCGAAUUCUGCUGCUAAGGAAGUGAUUUAGAAUUAUAAAGUAUUUUUAAAUUCUCAAGUGCUCAGUUAAGUACUCAAUCACGUACGUAUGAUUUAGAAUUAUAAAGUAUUUUUAAAUUCUCAAUGUUGAAAUUUUAUCAAGAAUAUAAGACUAAAAGGUUUUUAACUUAAGAAUGUAUUUUCAGAAAAUAUUUUAUUUUCAAUAAUAAGUAACUUGAUGUAUUGUCAUAACAUAAAUUUAUCAACUAGAGUAGCUAGGAUGUUCCAAUGACAGUCUUAAAGAAUACAUGGAAGGAUGAGAAAAAUAGCAGUAAUACUUUACAUUAUUCUACGCUAUGCAUUGUGAUUUAUCAAGGAUCCGAUCCUGGCCUGGAGGAUCCUUUUUCUUUUCUGUGAAGGCAGGGAAUUGAAGUAUUUCAUCUGUCAUAAAGGGUCAUCAGAUAUAAAGCAUACAUGCUGAAAAAGUAGUAUUUGGUAGAAUUUCUCUAACAAUAUUCUUAUAUUUUAUAUUCAAUUUAACAUAAUAAUAAACUUAAAAUUAUUAAAAUUAAUUUGUAUUAUAAUAUCAAACUAUUUAAUCAGGAUUCUUAAAAUAUUUUUUUACAGCAGGUCAAGAAAAAUAGAAGCACGGCUGUAGAACUAGCUUUUCAUUGCCAAACAUGCUCUAUGUUUUGCUCUAUUUGAUAUCCAUGUGCUCAAGCAGUCGAGCAUCCGAUCCCCACUCAAGAAUUAUAAUCUUUUUCCUUUGUUUUAAAAGGUCAUCAUGAUGCCAAGCUUACGGUCAUCCUAUAAUUGAAGCAAAUACAUCUGAUAUAUGUACGGUGAGAAGAAAAUGAGUGAACUAGUUGUAGAGCUGCCAAGGUUUGUUGAGUUGCGGUCACAAUAUAGCAAUAAGUUAUUGAAAUAUGUAAAGAAAGAGGGGGAGGUGAAGGGGUUUGUCCAGUUCUCUGGCGAUCAUGUAGGAGCCCAGACGCAAAAGUGCAACAUUUGAGAAGCCCAAGAUAUUAGGCAUGCCAUCGGUGCUCCUAUAACCACCAAACACAGUUAAGUCACUCUACGAAUAACCAAAUUCAAAGUUAAUUGUGUUAGGAUCACAUCCACUAUAAAUUGACGUUAAACAAACACAAUAACAGGCACGCAAAUAAAGAACACAUACAAUAAACGUGGAAACCUCUCGAGGGAGGGUAAAAUCACAAACCACUAAAUAAGAAUGUAUUACAAGAUUGGAGUCACCCCUUACUCACACUCUAAACUUACAAGCACGACACAUGAUUUCAGUCCCAUGACAACUUGGAGAACCGUCAUUGUCACUUGACAAUUCAAGUAUCAACUUGGAGGAGGGUUUUUCUUUCAUGAUCAUCAAUCAUGAUUUAAUGAUAUAUCUCUCGCAACUUCCAUUACGCUACUAGGUUGUCUUUUCUGGGAUUCGAUGCAGUGAGCUUUGACAAAAUCAGGGUCUGAUAUGAUUGCUAACCAUGUUUUGCAAACUGAUUUGCAUCGAAGGAGUGUUGCUACAGGUAACAAAUAAAAUGUUUUGUGAGAAGACAUGAUUAGGAGUGAUUCGAAUAAUGUAACUAUAUAUGGUAGAUAAGUAGCGGAUCUUACAGCAUCUUCGAGGGGAAGAACAUGCUCAGUAGGCGUAUCAGUGUUGCAUUCUGUCAUUUUUCCAAUGAGAGCCUCUUCAAUCUCCUCAUUCUGGGAAUCCUGAUUUUGUUGAAGAAGGCAAGUAGAAUGAGAAUGGUGAAGGCAAUGGAGUUAACGAAGCAGAUUUCCAUCUUCGUAUGCGCAUGAGGCAUAUGCAACACCAUACCUAUGACUAGCAGAGCAAAAUAUGAGUUCAUUAGAUAAAUAUAGCUUCAUCAAAACUGAUAAUGAAAAUCUAGGUUUAUAAUUCUAGUGAAAAUAAAGGUUUACACUAAAACAACACUACUAGAGUCCUGCAAAUGUUUAUUAACUUCCUGCAAAUGAGAAUUGAAUGUGAAACCUAAAUUAAAACAAGUAAUACAAUGUUCUGCUAAAGCACUACAAUAUUCACAUGUUCUCUUGGAAGCUAGGAGAAUUUAUGAUUGUCCUCCAUUUUCAAUAUUGUUUUUUUUCGGUGACAGCAGAAAGUUUGCAACAAUAUCUGCAAGCACGACAUAAUUAAAAUUAAAUAAAAAAAUGAUUACCAGCAUAAAAUGUUGUCAUAUAUCAUUGAUCCACCUUUUUGGAGCAUUUUCUUCAUUAUUCGCUGCAAUUUUGUAACAUAUAUAUAUGUAUUAGAAUCAAGAUGAUAUGUCUACAAUAUCUUCUAGUUAAAAAUUUUAAGAUGCAAAUGUCAAGGGUUGGGCAAAAGUCGGGUCGGGCUAAAAGACCAUAAACAAAAGGAGAAAUAAAAUAAAAACAAUCUAAAAUCCAAAAUAGUGAGGGCUUGGGGUUGCAAUAUCUUUCAUUUGGGUCCAAAUCCAUGACCAAGUAAGAUGGCUUGAUGUCAAAAUGAAUUAUUAAAUUUACUUUAUCCCGAUUAGAGCUAGAGGAAUAUGGAAAAAUUUAAAAUACAACAAUUUGGGAUAUGAUUUCCCAAAUGGAGAUAUUAAAUCACAAAUAGAAUAAAUAUUAUCAUAAUUCUCUUACACUUUUCAACGGAACUUGAAGUAGGUUGCGAGAUCUGAGAUUGAUCGGAAGAUCCAGAAUCUGUAUUGAGUGUUUAAGCUUCCACGAAAAUCUAGAAAAUUCAUAAAAAGGCUUGAAGAAGAUGAUGAUUGAGCGUAAAUUGAGAAUAUCAAGGUGAUUUCUUAGAUCUUUAUGGAAUGGAUGCUUGAAACUGAAAAACAUAACAGUUGUCGCAUUCGAGGAAUUGUCGAAGGUAGAACCCUAAAAGUUGGAAGGGGUUUUCAAGAAGAAAAGGAUUUGAAGAAUUUUAGAGAAAGACUUUGCUAUGCUUGAGGUGAAAUGAAUUUACAUAUGUUGCACAUAUUUUAUAAAGAAGUAGUACCGGUUGUAACCGGUCAAAGAAAAGAUUACCGCUUAUAGACAGUAAAAAGGCUACGGCCCAAAUGCUUACAAGUAUGAGACCUGAUUGAGGCAAGAAGCCCACUAUAUUAAAAUUUUAAACAAGCUUCGGGAAAAUUCUAAGGAAUUCGGGAGAAUUCUUAGUAUAUAACGAAAACUAUUAACCAAAUGACCCAAGUAAAAAGAUAAUCCUGAUUAGUGGUUAUGACGAAUGAUUGUCGAUCUCGUUAAAUUAGGUGUCUGGCUUUAACUCUAAAGUCUAUUUUUAUGAAGUAUACCCUUAACCAUGUAAUUCAUUCUAUUGAGCAAAAUAAGGUUAAAAAGAAUUCGUCCGAAAAAUAUUAAAGAUCGGGCCUACAAAGUAUAGAAAUAAAUCUGGUCUGAAGGGAGGAUUUAUCCUAGUUGUGGAAAAAUUAUAACUUUCCAUGUCGAGAUGAUUGACGGUUUGAUCCAUUAAGAAGAAAAAUAAAAUAAAAUUUUUUUUUUCCAACAAAAAAAGAAGUGAAAGACCAACCCGCAUGGAGCAUUCAUCAUGGGUGUGGCUUAAUCAAGAUUUUUGGGUGGGAUUUUCUUCAUCCAGGUUCUAUCUACAGUUAAAUUCUAUUUUUUCCUAAAAAUAAAAAGAAUAUAAAAAAUAGAAUUUACAUAAGUUAUUCAAAAUUCGGUGAAAACCCCCACUUGGCAAAUAAGUAUCCCAAGCGGGAUAAAAAAAAUACACUGAGGCACAGCCUGCACAUGUUCUUACUAAAGAAUGCACGAGACACAGUUCCUCAAAAGUUUUUUUUUUUUUUUCUUUUUUACGGUAAUGACAUUAUCCACCGGGACAAUACUCGUAUAAGAGCUUCCCAGACGGUUGUAUCCACCGGGAUAAAUUGUGUUCUAUUUUUACUCUAAACAAGGCAAAUACAAAAAAGUAGCACUAAUACUUUACAUUAUUCUGCUCUAUCCAAUAUUCUUUGCUUAAGUAUCCGAUCCCCCACUCAAGAAUUAUAAUCUUUUACUUCCUUUGCUAUAUAAAGUCAUCAUGAUGCCAAGCUUACAGUCACUCUAUAAUUGAAGCAUAUACAGUGAGAAGAAAAUGAGAGAAACAGUUUUAGAGUUGCCAAGGUUUGUUGAGUUCCGGUCACAAUAUAGCAAUAACUUCUGUGGACGAAAAUCCUAAAACAAUCCGUCUUACCAAUGUUCAUGUCAAAAGCAAUUUGUGCUUGUGGCGAUCGAGCAGAGGGACCUUAUUAUGCAUGCGUGGCUGCAGGCUACUCAGUUCGGGAUUCUGCUAACAUUAAAAAACAUCAAAUACUAGGCAGCUUCUUUGGGAAUCUGAGCAAAUAACUACCUUAUUAUCAGGUAGAGCACCUGAAUUUAUGAGGUUUAAAACAUGCAGAAUUGCCUCCACUUCCCUGCAAAUUCCACCACGCAUGUCCCCCCAUUUACUAACUGAAUAUGCCGCAUCAACCAUGCAAAUUACUGAGUAUACACUACUCCUCACUUCCCUGCAGAGAAUAGAUUCAUGUCCUUUCUGUGAUGCACAUUUAGAGCACCUAUAGGGUUUACUCUCCAGAGUGGCCCCUGCCCAAAUGACAUGAUGUUUGAAGCACUGCCCCAUUUAGCAACUCGAAUGAAUAUCAACUCCUGAAUUUUUUUUUCUUUAAUCUUUAUCUUAUUAAAGAUUUGGUCGUCUCUGGCUACCCAGAUAGACCACAGCGAAGCCGAUAUCACCAUACGCCAUACUUUGGAGAUAAAACGUGGCCUGUUCAGUUUAAGUAAGGCCAUGAGAUUGAAAUUGCUGAAGCCUGUCAUCGUGGUUUUAAGGUUCCACCAAUUACUUAUAAAAGACCAAGCCCAUUUUGCUAGUUGGCAGUCCCAAAGCAGGUGAGACGAAGUUUCUAUUUGUUGGCAGAAAACCCCGAAUUCUGCUGCUAAGGAAGUGAUUUAGAAUUAUAAAGUAUUUUUAAAUUCUCAAGUGCUCAGUUAAGUACUCAAUCACGUACGUAUGAUUUAGAAUUAUAAAGUAUUUUUAAAUUCUCAAUGUUGAA
rnacentral:lncRNA from 1 species